CCUACGGGAGGCAGCAGUGGGGAAUAUUGGGCAAUGGAGGAAACUCUGACCCAGCAACGCCGCGUGAAUGAUGAAGGUCUUCGGAUUGUAAAGUUCUUUUCUACGGGAAGAAGAAAGUGACGGUACCUUAGUAAUAAGCCUCGGCUAACUACGUGCCAGCAGCCGCGGUAAUACGUAGGAGGCGAGCGUUAUCCGGAAUGACUGGGCGUAAAGGGUGCGUAGGGGGUUUGGCAAGUUAGUAGCGUAACUCCAAGGCUCAACCUUGGAACUACUACUAAAACUGUUGGACUUGAGUGCAGGAGGGGGAACCGGAAUGCCUAGUGUAGCGGUGAAAUGCGUAGAGAUCAGGAGGAACACCGGUGGCGAAGGCGGCCGGCUGGACUGCGACUGACGUUGAGGUCCGAAAGCGUGGGGAGCAAACAGGAUUAGAUACCCUAGUAGUC
rnacentral:rRNA from 1 species